rnacentral:rRNA from 1 species
GACGAACGCUGGCGGCGUGCUUAACACAUGCAAGUCGAACGGAAAGGCCCUGCUUUUGUGGGGUGCUCGAGUGGCGAACGGGUGAGUAACACGUGAGUAACCUGCCCUUGACUUUGGGAUAACUUCAGGAAACUGGGGCUAAUACCGGAUAGGAGCUCCUGCUGCAUGGUGGGGGUUGGAAAGUUUCGGCGGUUGGGGAUGGACUCGCGGCUUAUCAGCUUGUUGGUGGGGUAGUGGCUUACCAAGGCUUUGACGGGUAGCCGGCCUGAGAGGGUGACCGGCCACAUUGGGACUGAGAUACGGCCUAGACUCCUACGGGAGGCAGCAGUGGGGAAUAUUGCACAAUGGGCGGAAGCCUGAUGCAGCAACGCCGCGUGCGGGAUGACGGCCUUCGGGUUGUAAACCGCUUUCGCCUGUGACGAAGCGUGAGUGACGGUAAUGGGUAGAGAAGCACCGGCUAACUACGUG